GUGGGGAAUAUUGCACAAUGGGGGAAACCCUGAUGCAGCGACGCCGCGUGGAGGAAGAAGGUCUUCGGAUUGUAAACUCCUGUUGUUGAGGAAGAUAAUGACGGUACUCAACAAGGAAGUGACGGCUAACUACGUGCCAGCAGCCGCGGUAAAACGUAGGUCACAAGCGUUGUCCGGAAUUACUGGGUGUAAAGGGAGCGCAGGCGGGAGAACAAGUUGGAAGUGAAAUCCAUGGGCUCAACCCAUGAACUGCUUUCAAAACUGUUUUUCUUGAGUAGUGCAGAGGUAGGCGGAAUUCCCGGUGUAGCGGUGGAAUGCGUAGAUAUCGGGAGGAACACCAGUGGCGAAGGCGGCCUACUGGGCACCAACUGACGCUGAGGCUCGAAAGUGUGGGUAGCAAGCAGGAUUAGAUACCCUUGUAGUCC
rnacentral:rRNA from 1 species